GGGUGGACGGACCUCUGGUUUGCCGGUUGUCGCGCCAGUGGCAUGGCCGGUUGGCUACGUUCGGAAGGGAUAACCGCUGAAAGCAUCUAAGCGGGAAGCCUUCUCCAAGAUGAGGAUUCCUUGACACUGUUAUGGUGUUGUGACCCCCCAUGUGGAUGACGUGGUGGAUAGGCCGGGUGUGGAAGCCGUGCGAGCGGUGGAGCUGACCGGUACUAACGGGGGAACGGCA
rnacentral:rRNA from 1 species